UGGUGCUCCUCGGAAUUUCAAACACUUCUGCCGCUUUCCGGAGCACGUUUAUGCUUGCGAACCAUUUUCUCUUGGCAUGGCACAAUCUCAUCCUCGAGGAGCUCAAAAAGUGUACAGUUUAGAAAAACAUUAGGGUGUUGUUUCAUGAUCGGACCAGUCAGAAAAUGUACCUUGAUCGGACCAUUUUUUUAUAUGCG